rnacentral:lncRNA from 1 species
UCCAUCUUUCAAAAGAAGAUCCCACUUUAUUUGAAUUUUUUGUUUACUAAAUCACUUAUAUUCCAAAAUCUUAUUGUCUGUUCCUUUCAAAGUAUAUUGAAUGUUAUCUAUUUUCCUCGAUGUAUCCAUACACCAUCUGUUCCCCAUGAACCCGACUUUUUAACAUCUAUUUGUUCACACGGAGAAUUAAGAUUAGAAGAAACGUCUUGUAAAACGUCACUACAGAAGAAAGUCAAGAAAGGUUCAAAAUCAUAUUAUUGAAAUUUUUGUAAAAGGAAUUUUCCAGAUGUCGUGUUUCUGUGAUAGUACCAUUCAAUGAAUAUUCCGUUCACCUUUCCAGACUCGAACAGUUUUUCUGAACCUUCAAAUACCUUAUGUUCAAAACCUUGGAUAUCUAUUUUUAUGAAUACUUUUAGCAUUGCUUUGAAUUCCGGAAGAGUCAUGAUAUCAUCUAAUAUAGCGGCUUUUAAGGGAACUGUGGUUUUCCUGUAGAACUUUCCAAACAUCUUUGACAUUUCCUUUACUACAUUGUCUUUUCCUUUGUCUACAAAUCCUAAUGCAUACUCACCUUUGUUUGGAAACGCAAAUGGUACAUCUUUGUGAUCGUUGCUAAGGGUAUUGUGAACAACGGUGACUUGAUCAGAAUACCUAUUCUCUAUAAUAGAGGCACACAGAUGCUGUGUAUUUUGUGGUGUUGGCUCUAUAGCAAUAACCUUCCUUCCUACAUUAGCCAGUUGUAGUGCAAUAACACCUAUGUUUGCACCAAUAUCAAAAACGCCGAUUGAAGGAUCGUGACGAAUGUAUUUGUACACAGUAUUGAAUCCCCAAUGUUCCCAUACAUUUUAAUCAAAUAUGUCGCGGGAUACAAUGUCUUCUUUCGGGUUAUUUAAGUAAAUAUUUAUUUUUCCUAGAUUAGAUUUUUUAACACCUUUCUGGAAAUAAUGUUUUGACUUUAAUAGCUGUAGUUGCUCCCAUUUACAAACAGAUACGUUUCUAUUCCAAGCAACAUCCCGAAAAGUGUAUAUAACAGGUUCAUCCAAAUUUUUACC